AAGAAGAGGGACUGCAUUUACAGCUAUUGGCAAAUAGUACGGAGAGCAACUGUCCAGACGGCCAGAAAACAUUUUGUUUGACACAGAAGUAAUAUCGGCUGGAUAACUUUUGACACUUAAAAGAUACCAGCUUGCUUGAUAAAGGUAUGCCACCAACCACCGUAUUUUCUCAGUUUCGUACACAUGCCAUCCAUCUAUAUCACUUUUCCUUGAUGCGAGGAAGUAUUCGCUUAAGAUACGUCUAUGUAUCCAAAGGCACAAUAGACAUGUUUUGCCCGAAAUGACCAUGGCUCAACAGGAAGUACCUGGAAUCUUCAAGAGGAUUUUGGAAUUUGAGCCGUUUUUAAAAUAUAUUCGGUGGUCCAACAGAUUUAAUUGAUAGUUUUAAGAGCUAGAAAUAUUGAACCAAGUUCAAAAUGCAUCGUCUUUGGUACUCGCAAAUUACGGAAACUUACAUUCAAUAUGCACAGUGGAUUGAAAGGGAAAGGUUUAUAAUCUCUCCAUAUGCCAGACGAGUGGUUUCAAAGAAACGAGAUCAGAAUUAUGUGGAUUUAACAUGCGUAACUUGUGAUAGAAAAUAACCAUGAAGAUUUCUUCUUAUACUGUUUUCAACUAUGGAACCAAUGUUAAUUUGGACGAUUUUUUUGUGUAAUGCCAGCAAGAAUUUGUGAGAUAACAUCCGUUUGAACCACUUUACUUAACCUACCUAAUACUACUACCUAAUACCUAAAUACUACUUGGUUCUACAGCAGCGCAUUGUGCAAAGAAUACAACUCAUGUCAUUUAUUUGAACAAUGGCACUCUCCAUCUAUAGAAUGAAUGUCCUUUUCAGUUCCAGCUACAAAUUCUAUAUACAGAGGAUGUCUGGAUGCCCAGGAAAGAGCAGUACUGAAGUGGUUUCGAUAUUGACAUGAGUUGGCCGAAAUGAUCGCGGUACAACGGAUGACAUCCGGAAUGUUCAAGCGCAUAUCGGAACUCGGAGCCUUAGUAAUGAAAUAUUGCAUGAAGAUCCAACAUAUGCAGUUUGUAAAAUUGUAAAUAUUAGACCAAACCCAAAAUGCAUAUUUGGUACCAAAAUAUUGUCAAUGAUCUGCAUAGUUGAAAUGCGAGUACGUAUGGGUUUAAGAUUACUUGAGGACAUCAAUACAUCUCAAAAAUGGAAGAAUAAAACAUUUUAAAGGUUUUGAAUAUUUAUAUAUUUUUGGAGAAUUGUUUCAACCAAUGCAGUAAUUCAUUUCGAACUUGGAAAAGGUUGAAGUGCAUGAAAUGUACAUCGUUCAAAGCCUGUUUGGCAUAUGAAUCAAUAUUUCUUAAGUUUUGGAAAUUGUUAAGCUUUUGGUUCAUUAUAUUUCCUUCAAAGUUGAUGUUUAUAUUCUACUCUUUUAGAAACAAGUAUUUUUUUUAAUAUUCUAGACAUAUGAAACAUUUUUAUGGAUAAAUUAAAAUUUGUAAGUGUUGGAUUUUUCUAAGUUAUCUAAAACCAAUUUCCAACAAGACCUAAAGAAGAAUUUUUCUCUCAGGAUGUCUAAAAUUGACUUUAAAAUUUCAUUUGUAACCAUACUCUUAUUAAAAGUUAGUAAGUUAAACUUUUUUUUACUGACCCAGCGAGAUAGCCAGGGAUCGCAGCAACUGUCCCAGAAUUGCAAUUACUUGAAAAAAAAAGUAUAAAACGACUUAAUUUGCAUUUGACAUUUCUCCGUCAUUGUAAACAGAGAAGGCAUCUUCAUGAUAUUAGAUGAUUUGUUAAGAUUAUUUUUCAUCAUCGAUUGCCUUAUUAAAAUUCUAAAAAUUUAAUUUUUUGUUAUUGAUAACCGA